UGGAUGAUAGCACAAUUGGUAGUGCGCUCCGCUGUUAACGGAGGGGUUACAGGUUCGAAUCCUGUUCAUCCAG
rnacentral:tRNA from 1 species